rnacentral:rRNA from 1 species
GUGGGGAAUCUUGCGCAAUGGGCGAAAGCCUGACGCAGCCAUGCCGCGUGAAUGAUGAAGGUCUUAGGAUUGUAAAAUUCUUUCACCGGGGACGAUAAUGACGGUACCCGGAGAAGAAGCUCCGGCUAACUUCGUGCCAGCAGCCGCGGUAAUACGAAGGGGGCUAGCGUUGCUCGGAAUUACUGGGCGUAAAGGGCGCGUAGGCGGACAGCUUAGUCAGAGGUGAAAGCCCAGGGCUCAACCUUGGAAUUGCCUUUGAUACUUGCUGUCUUGAGUUUGGGAGAGGUGAGUGGAACUCCGAGUGUAGAGGUGAAAUUCGUAGAUAUUCGGAAGAACACCAGUGGCGAAGGCGACUCACUGGCCCAAUACUGACGCUGAGGCGCGAAAGCGUGGGGAGCAAACAGGAUUAGAUACCCCAGUAGUCC